rnacentral:lncRNA from 1 species
AACAAUUUUGAUUUAAAAUCAAGAAGGAUGUUUUUUGCUUCUUAAAUCUUCAGUUAACCCAACUACUAAUCCACUAAGAAUAAUCCCUUCUUUCAGGAAUUACAUUUCACAAUAUCUUAAGCAGGUAUAAUGUCAACAAGCUAUCAAUUCUUCCAAAAUCAAAUCUAAAAGAAAACUUCUCCAAUAUCAAGGCAUUGAGGGACUGGUUUUAAGCAAAUCAGAAGCUGGUAUCAGCUUGAAAGUAAUAGCAAACACACGCAAACAGGGUGUUCCCUGUUUGGAGAAGAUUUUCCAUCAAAAAGACUUCAAUACCAAGGCAAAUAAAGUGGUGGGAAAACACCUUUCCUUUAUCUCUACUAUUAAGGUAAUCCCAUUCAAAGACAAAGUUAUUCAUAUGUUUUGUAUUCUACAUCACAUAGUAAUAAUAUCAAAGGAUCACAAUAAAAAUGUCAGAUUUUCUCAACAAUACAUUAGCCAUACUAGAUGCACAUUAUUCAUGUAGAAGGCUAUCACCUAAGAACCAGAAUCACUAAAAAAAAAUUCUAUAGAAGAGUGAGGAGGAACAGAAAAUGUCAAAGGUGUAAAAUUUCUUUGGAAAAUGGUGCUUACAAUACAAAAUUUACUCCUCUCUCUCUCUCUUGAUCUCUCUCUCUCUUAACAAUUAAGAAAUGCAACCACAAUACUGGGAGGUAAUUGUAAGAGAUUCCAACCAAACAAUUUGAAAAGCAAGCAGCCCCUCAAAUGAGAUAAAAUAAUGGCCAC